UACGUAUGUCGCAAGCGUUAUCCGGAAUUAUUGGGCAUAAAGGGCAUCUAGGCGGGGUUUCAAGUCGACGGUGAAAACUAGUGGCUCAACCAUUAGCUUGCCGACGAAACUGAAAUUCUAGAGUAUUGGAAAGGUGGGCGGAACUACAUGAGUAGAGGUGAAAUUCGUAGAUAUAUGUAGGAAUGCCGAUGACGAAGGUAGCUCACUGGACAAAAACUGACGCUGAAGUGCGAAAGCUAGGGGAGCAAACAGGAUUAGAUACCCUGGUAGUCCUAGCUGUAAACGAUGUUCACUGGGUGUGGGCGAGUAGAUCGUCUGUGCCGAAGCAAAUGCGAUAAGUGAACCGCCUGGGGAGUACGGCCGCAAGGCUGAA
rnacentral:rRNA from 1 species